rnacentral:rRNA from 1 species
CACGUAGGAUUCGAACGUUAUCCGGAAUUACUGAGCGUAAAGCGCGUGUAGUCGGUUUAUAAAGUUGGGUGUUAAAUCUCCGGGCUCAAACCGGAGUCGUCGCCCAAUACUACUAAACUACAGGACGGUAGAGGGAGGUGGAAUUCCGGGUGUAUGGGUGAAAUGCGUAGAUACCCGGAGGAACACCAGGGGCAAAGGCGGCCUCCUGGGCCGUACCUGACGCUCAGACGCGAAAGCUAGGGUAGCGAACGGGAUUAGAAACCCCGGUAGUCCUAGCCGUAAACGAUGUAGACUUGGUGUUGGUGGUGUGAAAUCCAUCAGUCCCACAGCUAACGCAGUAAGUCUACCGCCUGGGGAUUACGACCGCAAGGUUAAAACUCAAAGGAAUUGACGGGUCUCCGCACAAGCAGCGGAGCGUGUGGUUUAAUUCGAUGCUACGCGAAGAACCUUACCUGGGUUUGACAUAUAGGUGGUAGGGAGCCGAAAGGUGACCGACUCUUCGGAGAGCCUAUACAGGUGAUGCAUGGCUGUCGUCAGCUCGUGCCGUGAGGUGUCCGGCUUAGUCCGGUACCGAGCGCAACCCUCUUUGUAUGUUAUUCGUGUCAUCCGGGACUGCCGGUAUAAAGUCCGGAGGAAGGUGAGGAUGACGUCAAGUCAGCAUGUCCUUUAUAUACAGGGCUACACACACGCUACAAUGGUCAGUACAAUAGGUAGCAAAACCGCGAGGUGGAGCCCAUCCCAAAAGCUGGCCUCAGUUCGGAUUGUAGGGUGCAACUCGCCUACAUGAAGUUGGAGUUGCUAGUACCCGCGCGUCAGCAAUAGUGCGGAGAAUACGUUCCCGGGGAU